GACGAACGCUGGCGGCGUGCUUAACACAUGCCAGUCGAACGGAAUGGCCCUGCUUUUGUGGGGUGCUCGAGUGGCGAACGGGUGAGUAACACGUGAGUAACCUGCCCUUGACUUUGGGAUAACUUCAGGAAACUGGGGCUAAUACCGGAUAGGAGCUCCUGCUGCAUGGUGGGGGUUGGAAAGUUUCGGCGGUUGGGGAUGGACUCGCGGCUUAUCAGCUUGUUGGUGGGGUAGUGGCUUACCAAGGCUUUGACGGGUAGCCGGCCUGAGAGGGUGACCGGCCACAUUGGGACUGAGAUACGGCCCAGACUCCUACGGGAGGCAGCAGUGGGGAAUAUUGCACAAUGGGCGGAAGCCUGAUGCAGCAACGCCGCGUGCGGGAUGACGGCCUUCGGGUUGUAAACCGCUUUCGCCUGUGACGAAGCGCGAGUGACGGUAAUGGGUAAAGAAGCACCGGCUAACUACGUG
rnacentral:rRNA from 1 species